rnacentral:lncRNA from 1 species
CCACCCCCAACGCUCCCUCUGGGAGGCACGUUUGAGACCUGGAGCUCCUGUCUCUUCGUACUUGUCCACCUGGUGAAUAAACUCGUUCUCUUCUGCAAAGGUCGUCAUUUCAAUGAUUGGCGGCCCCUGCAGCAGGCAAAACAGGCUGGCUUGUUAACAGUGGCUUCCAUUUGGUUCGCUUUGGGUGGAUUCCUUUUCUGACAAACAGGGCAGAAAUAAGAAGAAAAGGAGAAGAAGCACCAAAGAGGCACUCAGGGAGAAAGGGGUACUUUGAAGGAAAAAGAGAAGAUACAUCCUGCAAACAGAAAGGACCACCGAAAGAACAAGAGGGCAGUGGCCCCAAAGUCACUUGCUUCUGUUCUUUUAUGUCUUCUUUGACAGCUGGGGCUCCGCUCACAUUUAGUCCUGCUCAUUGCAACAUUCGGAGUGCUCUUCUUGAUGGUGUCCGAGGAUCUUACACGAGCAGUUCGGAGGAUCAAACUCAGGACCUUGCACUUGCGGGGCAGGCACAGGGCCACUGAGCUAAAUCCCCAGCCCAAAAAGUGAUUGUUAUUUCCAGCGCUUUAUCACUCUCUUUCUCGUACUGGGGAUUAAACCUAGGGCCUUUGCCCUGAGCUGUAUCACUAGCCCAUGUUUUAUUUUUCUUUUGAGACAGGGUCUCAUUAAGUCAUUAAGUUGCCAAAGCUGAACUCAAACUUGCACUCCUGCCUCAGCCUCCCAGAGUGCUGGGAUCGAAGACCUAGGCAGGCACCUUUCAUGAGGUCUUCCCA